rnacentral:rRNA from 1 species
GAUGAACGCUGGCGGCGCGCCUAACACAUGCAAGUCGAACGAUUAAAGCACCUUCGGGUGUGUAUAAAGUGGCGAACGGCUGAGUAACACGUGGGCAACCUGCCCCUUUCAUUGGGAUAGCCACGGGAAACCGUGGAUAAUACCGAAUACUUCGAGACUUCCGCAUGGAAGACUCGAGAAAGCUCCGGCGGGGGGGGAUGGGCCCGCGGCCUGUUAGCUUGUUGGUGGGGUAACGGCCUACCAAGGCAAUGAUGGGUAGCUGGGUUGAGAGACCGACCAGCCAGAUUGGGACUGAGACACGGCCCAGACUCCUACGGGAGGUAGCAGUGGGGAAUCUUGCACAAUGGGCGAAAGCCUGAUGCAGCGACGCCGCGUGCGGGAUGAAGGCCUUCGGGUUGUAAACCGCUUUCAGCAGGGACGAGGCGAAAGUGACGGUACCUGCAGAAGAAGCCCCGGCUAACUACGUG